UACGUAGGGUGCAAGCGUUAAUCGGAAUUACUGGGCGUAAAGCGUGCGCAGGCGGUUUUGUAAGUCUGUCGUGAAAUCCCCGGGCUCAACCUGGGAAUUGCGAUGGAGACUGCAAGGCUAGAAUCUGGCAGAGGGGGGUAGAAUUCCACGUGUAGCAGUGAAAUGCGUAGAGAUCGUAAGGAAGACCAGUGGCGAAGGCGGGUCUCUGGACAGUUCCUGACACUGAGGCACGAAGGCCAGGGGAGCAAACGGG
rnacentral:rRNA from 1 species